UGGGGAAUAUUGCACAAUGGGCGAAAGCCUGAUGCAGCAACGCCGCGUGAGCGAUGAAGGCCUUCGGGUCGUAAAGCUCUGUCCUAAGGGAAGAAUUUUGACGGUACCUUAGGAGGAAGCCCCGGCUAACUACGUGCCAGCAGCCGCGGUAAUACGUAGGGGGCAAGCGUUAUCUGGAAUCACUGGGCGUAAAGGGUGCGUAGGCGGUCUUACAAGUCAGGGGUGAAAGGCUACGGCUCAACCGUAGUAAGCCUUUGAAACUGUAGGACUUGAGUGCAGGAGAGGAAAGUGGAAUUCCUAGUGUAGCGGUGAAAUGCGUAGAUAUUAGGAGGAACACCAGUGGCGAAGGCGACUUUCUGGACUGUAACUGACGCUGAGGCACGAAAGUGUGGGGAGCAAACAGGAUUAGAUACCCUGGUAGUCCACACCGUAAACGAUGAGUGCUAGGUGUUGGGGGUCGAACCUCAGUGCCGCAGCUAACGCAUUAAGCACUCCGCCUGGGGAGUACGCUCGCAAGAGUG
rnacentral:rRNA from 1 species